UACGUAGGAUGCAAGCGUUGUCCGGAAUUAUUGGGCGUAAAGAGCGCGCAGGCGGUCAUUCAAGUCAGAUGUGAAAUAUCCGGGCUUAACCUGGAGGGGUCAUUUGAAACUGGGUGACUAGAGUACAGCAGAGGAUAGCGGAAUUCCCGGUGUAGUGGUGAAAUGCGUAGAUAUCGGGAGGAACACCAGUGGCGAAGGCGGCUAUCUGGGCUGAAACUGACGCUGAGGCGCGAAGGCUAGGGGGAGCAAACAGG
rnacentral:rRNA from 1 species